UACUAAGGGGGCUAGCGUUGCUCGGAAUCACUGGGCGUAAAGCGCACGUAGGCGGAUUGCUAAGUCAGGGGUGAAAUCCUGGAGCUCAACUCCAGAACUGCCUUUGAUACUGGCGAUCUUGAGUCCGGGAGAGGUGAGUGGAACUGCGAGUGUAGAGGUGAAAUUCGUAGAUAUUCGCAAGAACACCAGUGGCGAAGGCGGCUCACUGGCCCGGUACUGACGCUGAGGUGCGAAAGCGUGGGGAGCAAACAGG
rnacentral:rRNA from 1 species